AGCCACAGCCAUAUCACCCUGCAGCCCAAGACCGGUUACUCACUGAAGCCAAGCAGGGCUGAGCCUGGUCAGUAGCUGGAUGGCACCACAUGGGAAAACUAGGUUGCUGUUGGAA
rnacentral:rRNA from 1 species